GGGUUGUGAGGUUAAGCGACUAAGCGUACACGGUGGAUGCCCUGGCAGUCAGAGGCGAUGAAGGACGUGCUAAUCUGCGAUAAGCGUCGGUGAGGUGAUAUGAACCGUUAUAACCGGCGAUUUCCGAAUGGGGAAACCCAGUGUGAUUCGUCACACUAUCAUUAACUGAAUCCAUAGGUUAAUGAGGCGAACCGGGGGAACUGAAACAUCUAAGUACCCCGAGGAAAAGAAAUCAACCGAGAUUCCCCCAGUAGCGGCGAGCGAACGGGGAGCAGCCCAGAGCCUGAAUCAGUGUGUGUGUUAGUGGAAGCGUCUGGAAAGGCGCGCGAUACAGGGUGACAGCCCCGUACACAAAAAUGCACAUGCUGUGAGCUCGAUGAGUAGGGCGGGACACGUGGUAUCCUGUCUGAAUAUGGGGGG
rnacentral:rRNA from 1 species